rnacentral:tRNA from 1 species
UCACGGAUGGCAGAGUGGUCUAAGCGAUAGACUUUUACUCUAGAGGUCAGUGGUUCGAGCCCAUUUGAGAG